GCCGCCGCCCCCGCUCCCAGCAGCCCUUGCAACCGCCUACAAUGAAAUUUGCGAAGUUUUUUCGGUUUCGGCGCCAUUUUCGAGUGGACUCGGAGGUGAGGGACCAUCUGCCAAGUUUCAUCAUCUUCUGCUCUGAAGAAAUCCAAAGAACUCCAUUGCUCACCAUCAACUGCAAAAGAAUCGGGCUUCCAGAUCUGUCCCUUGUUGUUUAAAACUGGAUGAGAUGACAAUGCAAAAAAAUGGAAGUAACAAGAAGCAUCAUACUUUUCUUCUCCUCAGCAGUGUUGAGAAAAAACUGUGGAUCCUGGAAUUUUACUGUGGAUUUUACUGGUUUUCUGGAGUACUUUCCCAUUGAAACAGCGAUUGCCUUCUGUCCAGGGAGAGUCAACGCAGGAGGAGCCGAUGCGCCCGCGUUCAAAGGUGAGUUGGGAAGGUAAGCUCAUGUGCCCAGCCUGCUCCAAAAUACCUGCAACAUCUGCAUCCCUCUGGAUAAAUGCAGGUUUCUCUGAAGCAUGUAUCCCCUUCUUGGGCACUGCAGGUAACACCUCGGAGAGGUUGAGAGAAACUCUAAUCAUCCUGUUCACCUGUCAUCUUUCUGAUUUAAUAUUGAGAAUCCAAAGCACAAACUAAGUUUGAAAGAAGCAAAAGUGUGAGAUGGGGUGAUUCAAACACAGAGCUUUAUUGCUUAAAAUAAUUACGCUGUCAUGUCAUAAACAGGCAUAUUUUCUCAGAUACGUAUUUCACUGCCUAUCCCAAAUUUCCACUUGCCCAAUACGCAGUGUGAAUGUUGAUUUUUCUCUCUGCACUAGCGAAUAAGCUCGUGGAGGUGUAUUGAGCCCUCGCUUUGGAAAGUCCUCCUUACUGAAGAGGGCUCUUGCCCCUCUUGUCGAAGUAGGCUAAAGACUGGUUUCUAUAAAAACAUUAAUUAAAACGUGAACCUCAGACACAAUCAAAAUGGAUUCUAGAGCUGAGCUUGUUUGCUGUUGCCUUUUUUUUUUUUUUUUUUUUUUGAGUCACUUGAAGAGAUGAAAGAAAUAAGACUACACAGGUACAGUCAAGUAAAACAUUGUUACAGAAAUAAUUAAUGGUAAAAUUACGUGGGGGCUUGUUUUGUUUUAGCUUGUACAGGUUUAGCUUUCUCUGGGUACUUGGCUUUGCAGUAAGUAGCAGUUGUUCGUUAGAGAGUUGGACCUGGUGCUAUCGGUAUUGAGGACACUGAAGUGGUGAAAAAAUACUGCUUUUUUGUUGGCAAAUAUUUGAUUUAAAAUUUGCAAUAAUUUGGCACGGGUCAUGAGAGCUUUUGAAAUUCCUAUUUUUAAGUUUGCUAAACAGGGACUAGGAGGAGGACAAACUGGAACUCGGCUAACCGGCGUGUUUAGCGCAAGGGGACGGCACAAGCAUUUGAACUAAUGGCGUCAUUUCUGACAUUGUUCAGGUUUUUUUGUGAUGCUGCUUUUUAAGAAAAUGAAUUGAAGGAAGUUGUCACAUAACUGGGGGAAAAAAAAAGUCAAAAGGAAACACAAAAAAUGUCAGGCUAUCUGCACGGCUCCUGUAUAGCCCUCGCAGGCUGGCGUGUAAAUGCCUCUGGCAGCUGCGUGCUUCAGAGCUACAGCCUCCUUUCUGCCCUGUGCCGGUGUUUUCUUCUCUGGUACAGGCAGGAGAGGCGGUGAAGUUCCAGGGUAUCUUCAAUUUCUGGUCGUGUAAGGUUUGACCAUUGAAAUAGUAAAUAAUCAUAAUCGAGUCUUUAAAAAAAAAAAAAAAAGUUAUAUUUUAGAUUUCUCAAAAGUCAAAACAAGCAAAAUAAAAAUAUUUUAAGGAAAACUUCAGAGGUUUGAACUGUUGGAAUCUGGAUUUAAGUGUUAACAUUGCGACUCCCGGAAAGUCCUUCAUGUUCAGCAGCCCCUAAGAGGAAAGUACAAGGUAACAUUUCCCCCGAGACCGUUUGGGAGGGCCAGGAAGGUCUGUGGGAUCUGCUGCAAAAGCAGCAGGUCUGCUAGAUCUGACAGUGUAGACUUGCUGAGGCCCGAAUAUUUUUGUGGGUGGGGGGAACAGUUUAUUUCUGAUUUUGUUUCUGAAACUGGUUUGUUUGCACUGUGUAACUGCUUCUUCUCUUAUAGUUACAGACUUUCUGAUAGCACCCGUGAAGAAAAAAGUAUGUCCCGUGGUGGUAAUGCAUGCGUGUUAAAUGUCUUCAUUGUAGAGUGUUCUUCAGUACCUUAUAUCAUGGUUUAAAAAAAUAUAUAUAUAUAUUCAAAAUACCAUUUGGAAUGUCAACAUUCAGUGGGCUUUGAGGAGAUGUAGCAGCACAUCAUGGUUUGUAGGGACAAGGAGAUACAGACCAUUCUGGGCUGCCUCAUUACCUCAAGGAUAAGACAAGAAAGUGAGCUUCUGGUUAUCAUAGAUGUGGAAGCUAACACAUUCCCAUGUAUCUCUUUAGUUCAGUUGAACAGGUAUGUGUAGAUAAGUUCUCUUGGCGCUUGUGUCUGUGCACAUCCUUUGCAGCUACAAAUACAUUCCCUAUGAGUCUGCGUGUGUGCGUGUGUCUCAGCGGGGCUGGCCCUGCAGGCAGGGAGGACUUGUAGCUCCUUUUUGUUCUCCACCAUGGGCACGAUGGCCGAUGUUGGCUUGAGCUGGCGCCUUACCCCCGCACCUAUUGCUCUUCGGUCCUUUCCCUGGCAAAGGGUCAGCCAAGGUCCUCUGUUGCCCCGGGUUUGGGGGGGGAAGGGGGGGUCUGGAGGCCGUGGAGAGGCGCUAGGAUGGAGAGCUGUCAGCAGUGCUCUAGCAGCACGUAAAUACUGGAGUUUGGGAUUGCCUGUUGCUCUCCAGUAUUGCAUUGCUGCUUUAGUGAGGCUGGAAAUCGGUCCCUGCCGCAGGAGCUGGGGCUCUGGCUCUUGGGGUGCCGCCUCGGCACCCCCCCGGUGCCUUCCACGCUGCUGCUCGGGGGCUCUCAUCUCCCACACCAAUAAACCACUGCGGAGGCAGCAACGAA